rnacentral:rRNA from 1 species
CGGGGUGGAGUAAUGCUUGGGAAUCUAGCUUAUGAGGGGGAGUAACUACGGGAAACUGUAGCUAAUACCGCGUAAUAUCGAAAGAUUAAAGUGUGGGACCUUCGGGCCACAUGCCAUAGGAUGAGCCCAAGUGGGAUUAGGUAGUUGGUGAGGUAAAGGCUCACCAAGCCGACGAUCUCUAGCUGGUCUGAGAGGAUGGCCAGCCACACUGGGACUGAGACACGGCCCAG